GACGAACGCUGGCGGCGUGCUUAACACAUGCAAGUCGAACGGGCCUUGUCCCCUUUUUUUUUGGGGGUGGGGUUAGUGGCGAACGGGUGAGUAACACGUGAGUAACCUGCCCCUCACUUCUGGAUAACCGCUUGAAAGGGUGGCUAAUACGGGGUGUUCUGGCCUGCUCGCAUGGGUGGGUUUGGAAAGAUUCGACCGGUUUUGGUUGUUUUGGUGGGGGAUGGGCUCGCGGCCUAUCAGCUUGUUGGUGGGGUGAUGGCCUGCCAAGGCUUUGACGGGUAGCCGGCCUGAGAGGGUGGGCGGUCACAAUGGGACUGAGACACGGCCCAGACUCCUACGGGAGGCAGCAGUGGGGAAUAUUGCACAAUGGGCGCAAGCCUGAUGCAGCGACGCCGCGUGAGGGAUGGAGGCCUUCGGGUUGUGAACCUCUUUCGCCAGUGAAGAAGGUCCUGCUCUUUGUGGUGGGGUUGACGGUAGCUGGGUUAAUGAAGCGCCGGCUAACUACGUG
rnacentral:rRNA from 1 species